UUGAUCAACUUAAAAAUGAGCACAUAUACUAAAAUUGGAAUGAUACAGAGAAGAUGAGCAUGGCCCCUGCACAAGAAUGACACACAAAUUCGUGAAGCAUUCCAUAUUUUU